rnacentral:rRNA from 1 species
GUGUCAGCCGCCGCGGUAAUACAGAGAGUGCGAGCGUUAAUCGGAAUUACUGGGCGUAAAGCGCACGUAGGUGGGCACUUAAGUCAGAUGUGAAAUCCCCGGGCUUAACCUGGGAAUUGCAUUUGAUACUGGGCGUCUAGAAUAUAGUAGAGGGAAGUGGAAUUUCCGGUGUAGCGGUGAAAUGCGUAGAUAUCGGAAGGAACAUCAGUGGCGAAAGCGGCUUCCUGGACUAAUAUUGACACUUAGGUGCGAAAGCGUGGGGAGCAAACAGGAUUAGAUACCCCAGUAGUCC